rnacentral:rRNA from 1 species
UUGUGGCCCCGUGGGGCGUAACCGGGGGCCCGGGGAGUGAGUAACGGGCCCUUGAAUCUGGGAUAAGGGUGGGAAAGUGGGUCUAAUAGGGGAUAUGACUCCUCAUCGCAUGGUGGGGGGUGGAAAGCUUUUUGUGGUUUUGGAUGGACUCGCGGCCUAUCAGCUUGUUGGUGAGGUAAUGGCUCACCAAGGCGACGACGGGUAGCCGGCCUGAGAGGGUGACCGGCCACACUGGGACUGAGACACGGCCCAGACUCCUACGGGAGGCAGCAGUGGGGAAUAUUGCACAAUGGGCGCAAGCCUGAUGCAGCGACGCCGCGUGAGGGAUGACGGCCUUCGGGUUGUAAACCUCUUUCAGUAGGGAAGAAGCGAAAGUGACGGUACCUGCAGAAGAAGCGCCGGCUAACUACGUGCCAGCAGCCGCGGUAAUACGUAGGGCGCAAGCGUUAUCCGGAAUUAUUGGGCGUAAAGAGCUCGUAGGCGGUUUGUCGCGUCUGCCGUGAAAGUCCGGGGCUCAACUCCGGAUCUGCGGUGGGUACGGGCAGACUAGAGUGAUGUAGGGGAGACUGGAAUUCCUGGUGUAGCGGUGAAAUGCGCAGAUAUCAGGAGGAACACCGAUGGCGAAGGCAGGUCUCUGGGCAUUAACUGACGCUGAGGAGCGAAAGCAUGGGGAGCGAACAGGAUUAGAUACCCUGGUAGUCCAUGCCGUAAACGUUGGGCACUAGGUGUGGGGGACAUUCCACGUUUUCCGCGCCGUAGCUAACGCAUUAAGUGCCCCGCCUGGGGAGUACGGCCGCAAGGCUAAACUCAAAGGAAUUGACGGGGGCCCGCACAGCGCGAGCAUGCGAUUAUCGAUGCACGCGAGAACUACAGCUUGACAUGACGGUAUACUUGAACAGUGCCCGCUGCGUCGGUUCACAGUGUGCAUGGUGUCGUCCGCUCUGUCUGAAGGUGUUAGUCCGCACGAGCACACCCUCGUCUAUGUGCAGCCGUAUGGCGGGGAUCCUCAUAGGAGACUGCCGGGGUCAACUCGGAGGAAGGUGGGGACGACGUCAAAUCAUCAUGCCCCUUAUGUCUUGGGCUUCCGACGCAUGCUACAAUGGCCGGUACAAAGGGUUGCGAUACUGUGAGGUGGAGCUAAUCCCAAAAAGCCGGUCUCAGUUCGGAGGUUGGGGUCUGCAACUCGACCCCAUGAAGUCGGAGUCGCUAGUAAUCGCAGAUCAGCAACGCUGCGGUGAAUACGUUCCCGCGGGCCUUGUACACACCGCCCGUCAAGUCACGAAAGUUGGUAACACCCGAAGCCGGUGGCCUAACCCCUUGUGGGAGGGAGC